GUUUCUUGCCCUGGAGCAUGGCUGUGGUGGGGAUGGGGUGGGGAGGGCAGCAACACAGAAUUUGGCUUGGGCUGGGGUCUUGUCGGAGGAGGUGCUUGAGGAGGGGCCGUUAAAUGCAGCAGGGGCUGAGGGGGCAGACAGGAGGCAGGCUAGCUACUUAGGUGUCAGACAGACCUCAACCUGAAUCCUGGCCUCCAGCUGGGAGACACUGGGCAGAUCCCUUAUGAACUUUCCAGCCUCCCUUUAUUCAUAGGGAUGAGAGUGUUACUGUGAAGACAGAAAGAGAAACGUGUGUAAAGCACUUAGCAUGGUUCCUGGCACCUUUUCCAUCUCCGUGAGUUUUAUUUUAUUACCCAAAGAGGAGAGACAAAUCAGAAACUCAGGAACCCCUGAAUCCAGCCUGGGUUAAUUCAGAAAUGAACACUUGACCCUCCAAGGGGGAGUCUGAUUUUCAAAUGUACUUGUUUUCCUUCACUUAAUACUACUUGAUUGGCUUAGAAUGGCAGAGUGGGGACUCUCACAGUCGGAGGGGAUAUUAGCCAGGGCUUGGAGCCAUGGCCUCAGGAAUCUGCAGAGAGUGGCAUCGGUGCCAGGAAGGCCCGGUAGGCAGGGUUCCAGGAGUCUGCUGUUGAAGAUGGUUUGCAAACCCCACAGCCCCAUGCUUGAGUUCAUUAUGGUGCUUCUCCCCUGCGGCCGAGGCCAUUCUUGGAAGAGUCCUGUCACAGUAGACGUUAUUACCUUUCUUUCUUGGAGCAGGAAUCCAUCGUCCAGUCACAGUCAUCCAGGUCCAAUUUUAUUUUUGUUUUUUUUUUUUCAAGUUUCAGAGAUUUAUUCAGCAGUGUAAACCCCAACACAAUACACCAACAUGAUUUCAUGCAUCAAGAGGGGAAAUCUUUCCUGGAUAAGGAGGAAAAUUAUGCGGAUGGCUUCUGCAAGACCUCUAUCCUAAGCAGCUUUAUAGUGAAACAUUUCAUUUAGAAGUCUGGACCUUCUUUCUUCAGUUUGCAGUAAUCUACGCUCAUCAAGUAAAACUUGUAUUGAUCAUGGAGACCCAGUGUGUUCCAGGUUUCUGGUUAUUUUUCUUAUCCUAACUGACAUCCGGAUUGAACACUGCCAGGAGGAGCAAGACAUAGAGCACUGCUCCAGUACCUUCUUCCCCCUCUGAGCUCGGAUGCUUCUUGGCUGGACUGAGGAUCUGGUGGAAACAAUGGGGCAGAGGUCUCGAGUCCAGAAGGAGAACAGAUCAAAUCUGCAAGCCCCUAUACCCUGAGUCCAGUUUCAGAUCAAUUUCUAGAAUUCUCCAGCAUACCCCACCGGGAGCUCCAGGGUGCUGCCUGCUAGGCCCUCUGAAGGAUGAGCUGGGGCUCUGAGGCUGGUGCUGAGCAGCAGAAGGAGGAGGGAGACCAGAAUCCUGAAGAACUCAAUCUUUUUGGCAGGGGAGGGGACGGUGGGGUGUCUGGAGGCCAGAGGCCAACGGGACGGAGAACACUGUCCUCUGUGAAAACUUAGGCUGUCAUUAAUAUCAUCGAGGCUCCAAAAUACACCCCAGCAUUCUAAGAAAUGAAAGCCCAAGAGGCUCAGUGCCCAGUCUGGUCGGCAGACACUUGCCAGGCCAGGCGCCCCCAGCAGAGGGCGCACGCGGGGAUGGGAGGGGCCACCACCCCACAUCCCAUCUGGUCGGGCUCCGCCAGAGCAGGGCAGGUACCAGGAGACCUGCCACCCUAGGGAUCAGAGUCAUUCAAAGGAGAGGCCCAGGAGUGUUGGGGGUGGGGAAGAUAGAGACUGGGGCACUUGACCCCAACCUUGCUGCCCAACUUUGCACAUCAUUUUGCACCCAGUGCCUUCCACCCAGUGCAAGGCACAGCCUGGUCUUCCCGCACACUGCUUCCAGAUUCACCUGCUGAAGACACCGCUCAGAACAUGUGCUUCUGCUCCAGGACCUACAGUGACUCCCCAUGUCCACGGCAUCAUGUGAAGUCUCUGCCCGGUGUCUGGACCUUUAAUGUCUGCCUGGUGUCUCCGCCCUUCCGGUCGGUGUCAUGUCUCCGUGCGCCGUUUCCCUGGGGCAGACUGGUGCCCUCGCUCGCUCAACUCAAACUGCCACCGGCUUUCUCUUCUGUAAAAUGGCCCUGGUAGUGCCCCCUCCCCCACAGAGUCGCUGGUGUGGGGAUUAUGCGAGAGAACACAUGUGAACGACGCGCCUGGCACACAGUAGGCAUUAUGUUACAGAUGAGGGUCAGUGGAGUAGGCCACUCCAAAAUAUGCCAUCCGACAUAAGGAUGAUUUUGAACUAAAGGCAAUUGAGAAGAAGCAAACACAAGAAAAACUCCUCCCCACGUCACCCCCACCAGGAAGGACAGGAUGAUUGUCUCACUUGCAGGGUCCCAACCAAUGAACAUAAGAUGGGUAGAGGAAAAACCCUCUUCUUCUCCUACAGUUUUUGCAACUGUGAAGGGGCAGUAAAAGCUUGGGGUGCCCCACUGGCUCUGGAACCUACAGAUGAAAUCCUGGAACAAUAGCUAAAAGCUGGCAAGAGGUUAAGAAUUCAUUUGUCAUGUUAACCUCCUGGAUGUCUGGUUGUGGUGGCUGGUUGAGAGAGGAAGGAGUGCUGAUUGUUGGGGUCUGCCUCCAUAGGUGACGAGCCAUCAGGCUGGGAAUCUGAGACACUUCCUUCCCAACUGUGGCAGCAAUCAGGGGAAUUUGUUUGGAGAAGGGGUCACAGCUCAUAAGAAGCCCUUGUUGGCUUUAACCCUUGCUGCCUUGGCAGUGCUGGGGAAAUCCCAUCCUGGCAUUGCCUCCCUGGGACUGCAAAUUAGUGUGUCUGCACUUAAAGACAUCUAACUUCUGUUGGACACUGGCGUUUCCUUACUGCAUGUGACAACAAAGGCCUUUGCUUUCUUUGACAAUCUCUGCGAGUGACCUUUGUGGAUCACAGAGGUUUCAUCAUCUGCACCUGUUCUGGGAACGCUGCUUACGUCCAUGGACACUGCAGAUACUGGAAACAGCCAUGACAUAGGAAAAACAAUGAUCCUACAGAGAGAGACAGAGCACAUGCAAGAGUGGGGAGAGGGGCAGAAGGAGAUUCACUCGGGCUCCUACACCGGACUCGAUCUCAGGAUCCAUGAGUUCAAGACCUGAGUUGAAACCAAGAGUUGGAGGCUUAACUGACUGCACCACCCAGGCGCCCAUCUAUUCAUUGAGUUUAAAAAAAAGGCAAAAGAUAUUUGGAUCUGUUACUUAAGCAUGUCUUUUUUGCCACACUGAAAAAUUAUGCUAUGAAAAAUUACGUCAAAAUUAUGAAAUGGUAUAUUAAUAAAUUUACUAAUCUGAAGAAUGCUGAUAUGUGAGAGCUCACAACUGCCUGCUCCCCAAUUUUCUCUGGAAAUUAAGCUAUGUUACUUCCUACAGCUGUUUUUGGAAUCUUUUAUUGCCAAUUUGGUAAAUGAAUAAGUUUUAUUCCUGAGCCUGCCACCAUGCCAUCUGAGACUCAGGGCCUCUUCCCAGCAAAUUCUCCUGCAUCUUCAGCCUUUUCUCUGAAGGCUGUCUUCACCCUCACCUUCUUGUCCUAGAAGAAUCCUGGCUUUCCCGGGGAAUCCUACUGAACUCAGGGUCACGGACUCGACUGUAGAGUACUUUGGGGUGUUAACUCCUCUGCACUUCGGGUUGUGCGGGGUUGGUGCCCAGAGGCCCAGGUGUCUCAUGCAUCAGCGCGGAUGCCUCAGGGCAGGAGCGGAGACGCGCACAGGGGAGCGCUCCAGGCACUGCUGGGUUGUACCCGCACCAUGUGAGCUGAGGCACAAAACUUCUGUCAUCUCAGCAACAGCUGGAACAGGGCAAGCAGCUCUGUCACCCUUACAUAUGCGGCAGGGCCUGACUGAGCUGUUUGCCUGGAGCUGCAGGAGGGUUUCCAUGGUUGUGCAUAAAAGCUGGCCUGGCCCACAUUUCUCGUACUUAUCAUCGCCCCCAGACCCAUCACAGGCUACAGACAUUCCACCUCCCAGCUGACGUUCACCUCCCACCGGCACCUCAGCCCAUUUAACCACAGACGGAAACCUCAGGAAUCCCGCUGCCUCUCCCUGCCCAGGGUGGUCACCACCCACUUUCCAUAGCAAGUGACCUUACUGCCAUCAGUCCAAUGGGUAAUUCAAUUUCACAAUCCUACGCUGAGUGUCUUCUUUUAAGGGCCACCCUUGGGACCAGUUGUCUCCGCGGCAAAUGUUGAGGUGUGGCUGCAAGGUGAGGCGUGGAGGAUUGUUUCUGCGUGAAGUCAGUGGGAACCCAAGCAGGGUUGGUCAUCACCGAGGGGCUAGGACAGGACGGGUCAGAGGCCCCGGACGCAUGUGAGGACCAGAGGCUCUGGUGUGGCAUGAAGAGAUGUCUGAUAUAAAGGCGGAUCAUAGAUUUUCUUUCCCAACAAGGCUUGUCCUAUUUGCAUUUAUUGAUGUAAUGUGAUGGAUGGGUUUAGUUCUCCUUCUGGCGUCUUGUUUUAUAUUAUGCGUUCUCUCUUCACUUCUUCCUUUGUUUUGCAUCUUUUGCUCUGUGGUGUGUAUGUGUGUUUUCUUCAGGUGAUUUCACUGCAUUUGUGGCAAUUGGCACUCUCUUUCUUCUGGAACCAGCAGACUUUGUCAAGACAAGAGGUGUCAGAUAUGCUAAGAUAUGUUGUGACGCAUAAAACCCGAGACUACACACAUAGGCACUUCUUGUUUGUUUUAUUGUUGUCUGUUUCUGUUCUACGAAAUCCUGGGAAAUUCAGUGUUGCCCAAUGCACAUCAAAAGAGCAAAAAAAAGGUUUACAAUGACUUGUGCGGCUUUAGGGAGAACAUUCCCGAGAAAACGUCCAUUUUGACUAGGGUUAAUAAGAACCAAUCCUCUGCUUACUGUUUUACCUCUCUGGUGAGUGGAAGAAUUUUCUACACACCAGCUUCUGGUUCCUUUUGUCCCACAGUUUGUUCCUUCUCCUCUCCCCACGCAAUCCCAGUGCCAGGUGCUUCAGAACACAUUUCUACUGUGAUGUGACCCCUCGUCCUAUACCUUUGAGCCCUCCCCUAGGUGAGUCAGCACAGAGGCUGGAAGGGACCUCCUAUACCAGGACAGCUUGCAAAAGCUGAAUGAUAGGCAGGAAAGACUAUAGACCCCGUAAAUCUAUCCUACAAACCCUGAACUUAAUGUAUCUCAUGUCAACUGUUCUCUCAUUCAGGUCCCUUCCAAUAUCGUCUGAUGUGAGGCAAAGGAAAAUUCAGGCAAAAAAAAAAAAAGAUACUGGUCUUAACUGACUGCACCAAAAACUGCCCCACCCGUGAAAAUUUUGUAAAAGCAUAUGCCCAUAUGAACACACUGUUUGGGGUCCACAACCCUAUCCUUAAAAGGGGCUGUUGAACUGAGGGGCCCAAAACUUAAGCUGUCUCCAUAUUGUACCUCAUGGUUUAUCAUUUAAUAUAAGAACAUCAAUAACCUACAAAUAGGUAUAAGGAAGUCCAGCAAAAUUUUGGUCUUUUCCCCAUGAUGGCUGGUGCUCUUAAGGAAAUAAAUAC